UACGUAGGUGGCAAGCGUUGUCCGGAUUUACUGGGCGUAAAGAGCGCGCAGGCGGUCGGAUCAGUCGAAUGUGAAAGCCCCCGGCUCAACUGGGGAGGGUCAUUCGAUACUGUCCGACUCGAAGGCAGGAGAGGGAAGCGGAAUUCCCGGUGUAGUGGUGAAAUGCGUAGAUAUCGGGAGGAACACCAGUGGCGAAGGCGGCUUUCUGGCCUGUUCUUGACGCUGAUGCGCGAAAGCCAGGGGAGCAAACGGG
rnacentral:rRNA from 1 species